GCGAGGGAUUUUCGGCAAUGGGCGCAAGCCUGACCGAGCAACGCCGCGUGCGGGACGACGCCCUUCGGGGUGUAAACCGCUUUUAGGUGGGACGAGGAUGACGGUACCACUUGAAUAAGUCUCGGCUAACUACGUGCCAGCAGCCGCGGUAAGACGUAGGAGACGAGCGUUGUCCGGAUUUACUGGGCGUAAAGGGCGCGCAGGCGGUCGCGCGCGUCGGGCGUGAAAGCCCCCGGCUCAACCGGGGCGGGUCGUCCGAGACGGCGUGACUGGAGGGCGGCAGAGGCUGGUGGAAUUCCCGGUGUAGUGGUGAAAUGCGUAGAGAUCGGGAGGAACACCCGUGGCGAAGGCGGCCAGCUGGGCCGACCCUGACGCUGAGGCGCGAAGGCGCGGGGAGCGAACGGGAUUAGAAACCCCGGUAGUCC
rnacentral:rRNA from 1 species